GUUUUGACGUAUUUUCUAACCUCUUAGAAUGUUAUUAGAAGUCGUAAUAAAGCUAUGUUUUAAAGUAAAUAAAGACCAUAUUAACGAUGUUAACAUGAUGAGACAUCGAUUUUAUGGAAUGGAGGAGAAGAUUUAACAGCUAGAAAUUAACAAAAAUCCUGCAAGAGCAUCGAGAUCUCGCUUUUGGCGAGUGGAAGUCCAAAGGCAAAGUGCAGCGGUUUGCAGUUCUUAGCCUCACUUUUUUGGACCUAACAAGACAGGAAAAGAAUAGUCAAAGAGGAAACCCGAGUAGCCAGAUGAUAAUAUAUGAAACCAUGAGCAGCCAGCCAUUGAAACUCUCAGCAAUUUGAAUAACAAUUUUGAUUGAUUACCAAUCAUG